rnacentral:rRNA from 1 species
AUACGGAGGGUGCAAGCGUUACUCGGAAUCACUGGGCGUAAAGCGCGCGCAGGCGGCUAUUUAAGUUGGAUGUGAAAGCCUACGGCUCAACCGUAGAACUGCAUCCAAAACUAUUUAGCUAGAGUGUGGGAGAGGAAGAUGGAAUUAGUUGUGUAGGGGUAAAAUCCGUAGAGAUAACUAGGAAUACCAAAAGCGAAGGCAAUCUUCUGGAACACUACUGACGCUGAGGCGCGAAAGCGUGGGGAGCAAACGGGAUUAGAAACCCUUGUAGUCC